UACAGAGGGGGCAAGCGUUGUUCGGAAUUACUGGGCGUAAAGGGCGCGUAGGCGGCCUGUUAAGUCGAACGUGAAAUCCCCAGGCUUAACCUGGGAACUGCGUCUGAUACUGGAAGGCUCGAGUUCGGGAGAGGAAUGUGGAAUUCCAGGUGUAGCGGUGAAAUGCGUAGAUAUCUGGAGGAACACCGGUGGCGAAGGCGGCAUUCUGGACCGAAACUGACGCUGAGGCGCGAAAGCCAGGGGAGCAAACGGG
rnacentral:rRNA from 1 species